GACGUAGGGCGCGAGCGUUGUCCGGAUUUAUUGGGCGUAAAGAGCUCGUAGGCGGCUAUUCAAGUCGAACGUGAAAUCUCGGAGCUCAACUCCGAAACUGCGUUCGAUACUGGGUAGCUAGAGUCUGGUAGGGGGAUCUGGAAUUCCUGGUGUAGCGGUGGAAUGCGCAGAUAUCAGGAGGAACACCGGUGGCGAAGGCGGGAUCCUGGGCCAGUACUAACGCUGAGGAGCGAAAGUGUGGGGAGCGAACAGG
rnacentral:rRNA from 1 species